UCGGGAAUUUUGCGCAAUGGGCGAAAGCCUGACGCAGCAACGCCGCGUGAGGGAUGAAGGCCUUCGGGUUGUAAACCUCUUUUAUCAGGGACGAUAAUGACGGUACCUGAUGAAUAAGCCACGGCUAACUACGUGCCAGCAGCCGCGGUAAUACGUAGGUGGCAAGCGUUGUCCGGAUUUACUGGGCGUAAAGAGCGCGCAGGCGGUCGUUCAAGUCGA
rnacentral:rRNA from 1 species